GUGGAUUAGAUACCCUAGUAGUCCUGGCUGUAAACGAUGACGACUUGGUGUGGGGGGUUCAUAGACCCUUCGUGCCGGCGAUAACUCGUUAAGUCGUCCGCCUGGGGAGUACGGCCGCAAGGCUGAAACUCAAAGGAAUUGACGGGGGCCCGCACAAGCGGUGGAGUAUGUGGUUUAAUUCGACGCAACGCGAAGAACCUUACCGGGGUUGGAACUGGGCCGGACCGGGUGGGAGACCAUCCUUUCCCUUCGGGGACUGGUCCGGAGGUGCUGCAUGGCCGUCGUCAACU
rnacentral:rRNA from 1 species